CCUACGGGGGGCAGCAGUGAGGAAUAUUGGUCAAUGGGCGGGAGCCUGAACCAGCCAAGUCGCGUGAGGGAUGAAGGCACAGCGUAUUGUAAACUUCUUUUGUAAGGGAAUAAAGUCAGGCACUAGUGCCUUUUUGAGUGUACCUUAUGAAUAAGCAUCGGCUAACUCCGUGCCAGCAGCCGCGGUAAUACGGAGGAUGCGAGCGUUAUCCGGAUUUAUUGGGUUUAAAGGGUGCGUAGGCGGCCUGUUAAGUCAGCGGUAAAAGCCUGGGGCUCAACCCCAGAGUGCCGUUGAAACUGGCGGGCUGGAGUAGGAGAGAGGUACGCGGAAUUCGCGGUGUAGCGGUGAAAUGCUUAGAUAUCACGAAGAACGCCGAUUGCGAAGGCAGCGUACC
rnacentral:rRNA from 1 species